GCUAAUCUAUUUUAUUCUUUUAAGCUAAUCUGUUUUUAAGUUUUUGUUUUUAUCUUUCAUGAUUCAUGAUCAUGGUGGUUCAGAUUUUUUGCAAGUGAAAUUCUAGAUCGAAAACCCAUCUUUAUGAUGGAUUUUUGGAAGGGGACACAUUUGAAUAGCAAUGCACAAAAAGCUUUUAGAUGUAUAUGGGUUUUAAGAAUUGGUGCUGCCUUCUUUGUAGAAGGGAGCAGGAAGAUGGGAAGCGUUUUGUGUGGGACAGAUUAGUCGGAUGAGUGGGAUAUUGGGGUUAGGAACGUAUGGAAAAGGAGAAGAAAUUGAAAGAUGGAAUAUUGGGCAUGUACAUGAUUCAGGCAGAUCCACUUGAACUCGCCCGAAUUACUCAUUUGGGCAGGGGCUGCUGCCAAGUCCCGUGCCUGAUCCAAGUUUUUUAUCAUUGAUAGUGAAAGCUUAAAGCGUGCAAUGACAUUCACUUGUUUAAGUGAAGUAUCUGAUGAUGACAUGAGAUUGUUUUGGAUCAGCUUGCUCAGCGUUCGAGAUGGGAAAGAUGAUGCAGUUUAUGGUGAUAGUGUUAUGGAGAGUUAUAUUACUCUGCUGUAAUCUUUAACUUUUUAUCAUUAAUACUAAUCUAUUGACCCUAAAACAUUAAUAUUUUAGGGUUCUGGUAAACAAGAGAGCAUAAUAACCACCAAGCUAAUGUAAUAAACUAAUUGAGAUGCUAUUGCUGAUCCAUUAGUCGAUUAGAUACGUUUGACAUGGAUCUUUUUGUUUUGGAUAGUAAAAUUUUGUAUGCACCUAAUGCAAAACCUACUACUGAUGGACUUUGAACAGCUAUGAUUCAAGUCAACAGAUAUGUGGAGCUCGUAUUGUUUUGAUUAAUUUGCACACUCAUUAUGUUUUACAUUUUAGUUGCCUAUGUACUUUCACUUUGGAUCACAGUGAUUAAGAUUGGAAGAGACAAGCUGGUUCGACUAGUCGGGACUGUCGAUUAGUGCUUUAGUUGGUAUGCUCCAAAGUAAAAACCGUCCAACGCUUUCAUACGGUGGUCAGACUGUCUUCAAUUGUACCAUACCCCUCAUCAGUUUGGUGACUUCUCCUAUCCUGGCUGUUGAAACAAAUGUUGAAAGUGGUGCUGCCUGGUCCCCAAAACCCAAAAAUGGUUUAUGGGUUACCUUUUGGAGUAGCCAGUCGA